UAAAGCUCAUCUCUGAAACUCAGAGGAGGAGUGAAAUAUCAACCCAACUCAGAACUCGAACUCAGCACAGGAAAGUCAGUUCCUUUCUCUCUCUACAACUUCUCUCUCUCUCUGUCUCUCUCUCUACAACUAGAUACAAACACAACCCGCAAUCUGAAGUUUAGGAAUUUAGAAAUUUGAAAAUUUAGAACAGACAGAGAAGAGAUGAUGAAACUUGAAGUUGGGUUUUGGUUGUUUGUCUCUCUACUUUCUCUCUCUACCUUAUCUCCAUCGACAGCAGCUGAAGCACCAGCACCAUCUCCUCCCCCAAGAACAAAUAUAACAACAACAGCAGCAUGCCCAGUGGAUCUGAGCUAUGUCCUAAGAAUCCCCUUCAACUCCUCCACCUGCAAAAACUUCCAACCUCCUUCCAAAACCACACAAAUGGAGUCGGAGGACCUCACCAAGAUCCCCUGCUGCCAAACCCUUUUGUCCCUCUUCGGAAUCUCCCUCGCCCAACACCUCAAAGAAACCUCCCUCUUCCAACUCCCCAACCUCCCCACCUCCAUUUCCUGCCUCCAAAACUUCCAGUCCAAGCUCUCCUCCCUCUCCCUCUCUCCCAAUCUUGUCUCCUACUGCUUUGACCCUCUCCAGUUUGUCAUCUCCCCCAACAUCUGCGCCAAUAUUCAGUCCACCAGUGAUUGGGUCUCCAAGCUUGGCAACUCCACCGUCCUCGACUCCGCCUGCCGCCCUGACCUCUCCGAUCUCUCCUCCUGCGGGGGCUGUGUCGACGCCGGCUUUGCCAUUCAGAAGAUGUUGCUUGCCGCCGAUGGUAACUCUUCUCACACUGAAGACUGUUGGUACUUUACUAUUCUUUAUGCUGCUGGUAUUGUCAAUGAGUUUGGCCCUGAGAGCAAUGGUGUUGUGAACUGUAUAUUUGGGUUGUCUUCCUCCAAUGCGCGUUCGUCGAAAAAGAGCAAUACUGCCCUUGUUUUCGGCCUCACUGGCGCUGGGGUUGCGGUGUUUGUCAUGUCUAGUUUGUUGGGGUUGUACUUUUGGUAUGAUAGAAGGUGGAGGAACAAAAGGAUUAGAGGUUCUCGAAUGGAAUCCGGUUUUGACUUGGAUGAACGAGAUGCCAGGAUUAGAGUGAGACCAAACACCGGUUCAAUUUGGUUUAAAAUUCAGGACCUUGAGAAGGCUACUAAUAACUUUUCACAGAAGAAUUUUAUCGGUCGUGGUGGGUUUGGUGUUGUUUACAAGGGUGUGUUGCAGGACGGGACUACGGUUGCUGUUAAGAAAGUUAUAGAAUCUGAUUUUCAAGGGGAUGCUGAAUUUUGCAAUGAGGUUGAGAUUAUUAGCAAUUUGAAGCACCGGAAUCUUGUCCCGCUUAGAGGGUGUUGUGUGGUCGAGGGGGAAGACAGUUACGAGGAGAAAGGAAGUCACAGAUACCUUGUCUACGAUUACAUGCCGAAUGGGAAUCUAGAUGACCAUCUCUUUAUUUCUCAGCCUAGUAGUCAGAGCGGAAUUGAAAGGAGACCCUUGACUUGGCCUCAAAGAAAGAGCAUAAUCUUGGAUGUAGCCAAGGGUUUAGCUUAUCUUCACUAUGGAGUGAAGCCUGCGAUAUAUCACAGAGAUAUUAAGGCUACAAAUAUACUACUAGAUGCCGAUAUGAGAGCGAGGGUGGCGGACUUUGGGCUUGUAAAACAGAGCAUGGAAGGCCAGUCUCAUCUCACUACUAGAGUGGCAGGGACUCAUGGAUACUUAGCCCCUGAAUAUGCUCUUUAUGGACAGCUGACCGAGAAGAGCGAUGUUUAUAGCUUUGGAGUGGUUAUUUUGGAGAUUAUGUGUGGGAGAAAGGCACUUGAUUUGUCAUCUUCGGGUUCCCCUCGUGCUUUUUUGAUCACAGAUUGGGCUUGGUCAUUAGUGAAAUCUGGAAAAGCUGAGCAAGCUUUAGACUUCUCGUUGGUUAGAGAUGGGGAUAAUGCGAAUUCGAAUCCAAAGAGCAUAAUGGAGAGAUAUUUGCUGGUCGGCAUUUUGUGUGCUCAUGUAAUGGUGGCUUUACGGCCUACCAUUUUGGAAGCUCUGAAAAUGCUGGAGGGAGAUGUUGAGGUGCCACAGAUUCCAGAUAGGCCGAUGCCUCUUGGUCAUCAUUCAAGUUAUGGCAAUGGCAACGGUAACACGUUCAGCAUAUCACCAGCUUUGAGCGGGCCAAAAUUACACAGCGGAGACAUGCUCAGGUAAUCUAGAAAGAUUUGCGAUUCUUUAGUUUGUACAUUGCCUCGAAGGAUGUAAAGAAUGAGAAGCAUGUUCAUGGAAGACCCUCCAGUCCAUGAGUUCAUUCAAGGUUUAGCAGAGAGUGAAGCACUUCAGGGGCUCUGACCGUCUGAGUCCUUGGGAGAUUCUUAAAGCUCGAAAAAAAUUUCAGUAUGGCAGUAACACGACCUAGUUUAUCAAACGCAACCUAAUUUAUCAAGUGUAAUAAUAUAAGAGGUUGGAAUUUUUCAGUGGGCCAUGUUCUCGACACACUCAACAAUCUCUCUUACCGCUCUGACGUGUUUAUCAGUUCAAGAGCGUAUGUACAUGGUUUUGGUGAAAUUUUGAUCUAUAUUUGUAUAGUAAUAGUAAGAUAAAUAGUAAAUACCUAUUAUCUUGGAACUGUAGGGCCGGGUAAUUUUGUUGUUUCGUUUCCUUGCAUGUAAUACGUUUUUGUGGGCAACUUGUAACCCAAGUGGUUAAUGCUCAGUGACGGGCGUGCCGCUGCCACUCCCAUCAUAUUUCCCCAUUUCUGUAAAAUGUAACUGGAAAAUAGAGAGUGAUUCAACAUUUGGAACUUGUUUUAAUGAAUUGGAUUUGGAGUAGGGCGGAGAUUUAAUGAA